rnacentral:rRNA from 1 species
GUGGGGAAUAUUGCACAAUGGGCGAAAGCCUGAUGCAGCAACGCCGCGUGAGGGAAGACGGUUUUCGGAUUGUAAACCUCUGUUUUCGGUGACGAAUAAAUGACGGUAACCGAGUAGGAAGCCACGGCUAACUACGUGCCAGCAGCCGCGGUAAUACGUAGGUGGCAAGCGUUAUCCGGAAUUACUGGGUGUAAAGGGAGCGCAGGCGGGAUAGCAAGUCAGCUGUGAAAACUAUGGGCUCAACCCAUAAACUGCAGUUGAAACUGUUAUUCUUGAGUGGAGUAGAGGCAAGCGGAAUUCCGAGUGUAGCGGUGAAAUGCGUAGAUAUUCGGAGGAACACCAGUGGCGAAGGCGGCUUGCUGGGCUCUAACUGACGCUGAGGCUCGAAAGUGUGGGGAGCAAACAGGA